GAUGAACGCUAGCGGCAGGCUUAACACAUGCAAGUCGAGGGGUAUGCCGAUUUAUCGGCAGAGACCGGCGCACGGGUGCGUAACGCGUAUGCAAUCUACCUUUCACAGAGGGAUAGCCCAGAGAAAUUUGGAUUAAUACCUCAUAGUAUAGCGGUUUCGCAUGAAACCACUAUUAAAGUUCCAACGGUGAAAGAUGAGCAUGCGUCCCAUUAGCUAGAUGGUAAGGUAACGGCUUACCAUGGCUACGAUGGGUAGGGGUCCUGAGAGGGAGAUCCCCCACACUGGUACUGAGACACGGACCAGACUCCUACGGGAGGCAGCAGUGAGGAAUAUUGGUCAAUGGACGCAAGUCUGAACCAGCCAUGCCGCGUGCAGGAUGACGGUCCUAUGGAUUGUAAACUGCUUUUGUACGAGAAGAAACAACAUUACGUGUAAUGUCUUGACGGUAUCGUAAGAAUAAGGAUCGGCUAACUCCGUGCCAGCCGCCGCAGUAACAC
rnacentral:rRNA from 1 species